CCUACGGGAGGCAGCAGUGGGGAAUAUUGCACAAUGGGGGAAACCCUGAUGCAGCGACGCCGCGUGAGUGAAGAAGUCCUUCCGUAUGUAAAGCUCUAUCAGCAGGGAAGAAGAGAGACGGUAGCUUACUACAAAGCGCCUGCUCAAUAAGGGACAGCAGGCGCGGUCAUUCGGAGGAGGCAAGCGGUAUCGGGAUUUACUGGGUGUAAAGGGAGCGUAUACGGCUGUGGAAGGCUGAGGGGGAAGCCCAGGGCCUAACCCUGGGACUGCUGUUGAAACUACAGAGCUAGAGUGCGGGAGAGGUAAGUGGAAUGCGUAGUGUAGCGGUGAAAUGCGUAGAUAUUAGGAAGAACACCGGUGGCGAAGGCGGCUUACUGGAGAGUAACUGACGUUGAGGCACGAAAGCGUGGGGAGCAAACAGGAUUAGAUACCCGAGUAGUC
rnacentral:rRNA from 1 species